rnacentral:miRNA from 1 species
UAAGUUGACAUAGUCCCAAGGU